UGGCCAUCCACUCUCAAGGGGAGCCUGAGUCUGAGAAUGAAGCUAACAUAGCAGAAAGCAAAACUAAAAAAUGGAGAGACAUGAAUUCUUGGUGUCACCAUUUGACCAUUUGGAUCAAGCCAUACCUGAAGGAAGUCUCCCUAUUCCACUGCAUUUCCAAGAGUUGGAAACAGGAUGGGUGACAUCUGCAGCUGAAACCAGGCCAUGUUGUUGAACAGUUGAACAUCUAAAGGACUGACCAUGGAUUGUGACAUAACAUCUCCACUACUGGAUAUAGACAUCGUGAAACCACAUGUCAGCCUACACUCCCCUGACUUCUUACCCUAUUCUUGAAAUCCUUAAAAACCGAAAUCCUAAACCUUAAAGCAUGCCUCCUCUCUGAGGUUGCUUGCACUCCUGUAUGAGUGUGUGCUGCUUUAAAUAAACUU